CAGCCAAGUCGUGAGGCGGAGCUAAUCCCUUAAAGCCAUUCUCAGUUCGGAUUGUAGGCUGAAACUCGCCUACAUGAAGCUGGAGUUACCAGUAAUCGCAGAUCAGAAUGCUGCGGUGAAUGCGUUCCCGGGUCUUGUACACACCGCCCGUCACACCACGGAAGUUGGGGGCGCCCGAAGCCACUUAGCUAACCCUUUUGGGAAGCGAGUGUCGAAGGUGAAAUCAAUAACUGGGGUGAAGUCGUAACAAGGUACC
rnacentral:rRNA from 1 species